AACGAACGCUGGCGGCAGGCUUAACACAUGCAAGUCGAACGCACCUUUCGGGGUGAGUGGCAGACGGGUGAGUAACGCGUGGGAAUCUACCCUUCUCUACGGGAUAGCUCCGGGAAACUGGAAUUAAUACCGUAUACGUCCUGAGGGAGAAAGAUUUAUCGGGGAAGGAUGAGCCCGCGUUGGAUUAGCUAGUUGGUGGGGUAAAGGCCUACCAAGGCGACGAUCCAUAGCUGGUCUAAGAGGAUGAUCAGCCACAUUGGGACUGAGACACGGCCCAAACUCCUACGGGAGGCAGCAGUGGGGAAUAUUGGAAAAUGGGCGCAAGCAUGAACCAGCCAUGCCGCGUGAGUGAUGAAGGCCCUAGGGUUGUAAAGCUCUUUCAGUGGGGACGAUAAUGACGGUACCCACAGAAGAAGCCCCGGCUAACUUCGUG
rnacentral:rRNA from 1 species